UGCAGUCGAACGGUAACAGGCCUUCGGGCGCUGACGAGUGGCGGACGGGUGAGUAACGCGUAGGAAUCUGCCUCAUAGUGGGGGACAACGUGGGGAAACUCACGCUAAUACCGCAUACGCCCUACGGGGGAAAGCGGGGGAUCUUCGGACCUCGCGCUAUGAGAUGAGCCUGCGUUAGAUUAGCUAGUUGGUAGGGUAAAGGCCUACCAAGGCGACGAUCUAUAGCUGGUCUGAGAGGACGAUCAGCCACACUGGGACUGAGACACGGCCCAGACUCCUACGGGAGGCAGCAGUGGGGAAUAUUGGACAAUGGGCGAAAGCCUGAUCCAGCAAUACCGCGUGUGUGAAGAAGGCCUUAGGGUUGUAAAGCACUUUCAAUUGGGAGGAAAACCUACCGGUCAAUACCCGGUAGCUUGACAUUACCUUUAGAAGAAGCACCGGCUAACUCCGUGCCAGCAGCCGCGGUAAUACGGAGGGUGCGAGCGUUAAUCGGAAUUACUGGGCGUAAAGCGUGCGUAGGCGGUUCGUUAAGUCAGAUGUGAAAGCCCUGGGCUCAACCUGGGAACUGCAUUUGAAACUGGCGGACUAGAGUUUAGUAGAGGGGAGUGGAUUUCAGGUGUAGCGGUGAAAUGCGUAGAUAUCUGAAGGAACACCAGUGGCGAAGG
rnacentral:rRNA from 1 species